rnacentral:tRNA from 1 species
AGGGCUAUAGCCAAACGGUAAGGCAGCGGAUUCUGAUUCCGUCAUUUCAUGGUUCGAAUCCAUGUAGCCCUG